GUGCUCGCUUCGGCAGCACAUGCACUAAGCUUGGAAUGAUACAGAGCAGAUUAGCAUGGCCCCUGCGCAAGGAUGAUAUGCAAAUUCAUGAGGCUUUCCAUAUUUUU
ensembl:snRNA U6 U6 spliceosomal RNA